GGCAAGAUGGCCGAGUGGUCUAAGGCGUAGCAUUAAGGAAGAUAUUCUGAGCAUUUAGGAGCAUCUGGUAUCUUCGGGCGUGGGUUCGAAUCCCACUCUUGUCA
rnacentral:tRNA from 1 species